rnacentral:rRNA from 1 species
GGACAACCUGCCCUAAGGUGAGGGAUAACUCCGGGAAACUGGAGAUAAUACCUCAUAGUUUACCAUCGCUGGAAUGCCUGGUAAGCCAAAGGUCCGCCGCCUUAGGAUGGGUCUGCGGCCGAUUAGGUAGUUGUUGGGGUAACGGCCCAACAAGCCUGUAAUCGGUACGGGUUGUGGGAGCAAGAGCCCGGAGAUGGAUUCCGAGACACGAAUCCAGGCCCUACGGGGCGCAGCAGGCGCGAAAACUUUACAAUGCAGGCAACUGUGAUAAGGGAACCCCGAGUGCCCGUAUGGACGGGCUGUUCAGGUGCUUAAAAACCACCUGGAGAAAGGGCCGGGCAAGACCGGUGCCAGCCGCCGCGGUAAUACCGGCGGCUCGAGUGGUGGCCACUAUUACUGGGCUUAAAGCGUCCGUAGCUUGGUCGUUAAGCCUCUGGGGAAAUCUUCCGGCUCAACCGGAAGGCGUCUCAGGGGAACUGGCGACCUAGGGAUCGGGAGAGGUGAGAGGUACUCUGGGGGUAGGAGUGAAAUCCUGUAAUCCUCAGGGGACCACCUGUGGCGAAGGCGUCUCACCAGAACGACUCCGACAGUGAGGGACGAAAGCUGGGGGAGCAAACCGGAUUAGAUACCCGGGUAGUCCCAGCCGUAAACGAUGCGCGUUAGGUGUAUCGGUGACCACGAGUUACCGAGGUGCCGAAGGGAAACCGUGAAACGCGCCGCCUGGGAAGUACGGUCGCAAGGCUGAAACUUAA